rnacentral:rRNA from 1 species
UACGAAGGGGGCUAGCGUUGCUCGGAAUCACUGGGCGUAAAGCGCACGUAGGCGGCUUUCUAAGUCAAGGGUGAAAUCCUGGAGCUCAACUCCAGAACUGCCUUUGAUACUGGAGAGCUUGAGUCCGGGAGAGGUGAGUGGAACUCCGAGUGUAGAGGUGAAAUUCGUAGAUAUUCGGAAGAACACCAGUGGCGAAGGCGGCUCACUGGCCCGGUACUGACGCUGAUGUGCGAAAGCGUGGGGAGCAAACAGG